CGUUCCCCAUUUUGCAGGGAAACCAAGGCCAGUAGAGGUGAAGCGGCAUACCCCAGGUCAUCACUCAGAUCGCUUGCCUCCAAGUCCAAGGCUCUUUCCCCUCCCAAUUCUCCUGAUCUGUGACCUCCUGGGCAUUCUGGCCAAUCUGCUUCCCUCUGACUUUGCAGACUGCACUGAUGGAACUACCACUAAGGCAGGUGUGAAGCCUGCAAUCUCCUGACCAGCUUGUGCUUCUUGGUUCUUAUGCAAGCCAGUUCUCUCUGUGAAAUAUUUCUAAGCAGCUCUCAACCACCAGGUCUAUGAGGGUCCCUGUUGUCCCUCAGCCAAGGCUGCUCUCUCCCCUAGAUCCCCACCUCCCAGGGUCACAAGGAUACACAAAACUAUUGCAGGAAACGUAGGUUCUUCCUGCAAUACAAUUAAAGCUGCUAACAUUUACUGAGUACCUACUGGUUGUUGUGAGGAUAUUGAGGUUCAGAAGGGCUAAGUGACUUGCCCAAGGUCAUCCAGUUAAUUGUUGAGGCAGCAUUCAUAACUCGAGCCUGUCAGACUCUAGAAUCCACUUUAUUUUUCCUCUGCUACACUGCCCUGGCUCCCUACCCUACAAGUGCUUAGAGAUCUAAAGCAAAGUAGAAAAGGAAAAGUGAGCAAGGCGGAGGGGCUUUUACAUUUUCACUGCCUGGCUCCCAACCCAGACUCUGGCAAGGCUAAUUCCAUGAUGU
rnacentral:antisense_RNA from 1 species